rnacentral:rRNA from 1 species
AUUGAACGCUGGCGGCAUGCUUUACACAUGCAAGUCGAACGGCAGCGCGGGCUUCGGCCUGGCGGCGAGUGGCGAACGGGUGAGUAAUACAUCGGAACGUGCCCAGUAGUGGGGGAUAGCUCGGCGAAAGCCGGAUUAAUACCGCAUACGACCUGCGGGUGAAAGCGGGGGAUCUUCGGACCUCGCGCUAUUGGAGCGGUCGAUGGCAGAUUAGCUAGUUGGUGGGGUAAAGGCCUACCAAGGCGACGAUCUGUAGCUGGUCUGAGAGGACGACCAGCCACACUGGGACUGAGACACGGCCCAGACUCCUACGGGAGGCAGCAGUGGGGAAUUUUGGACAAUGGGCGAAAGCCUGAUCCAGCAAUGCCGCGUGUGUGAUGAAGGCCUUCGGGUUGGAAAGCACUUUUGGCGGGAACGAAAAGGACUGUGCCAAUACCACGGUUCGAUGACGGUACCCGCAGAAUAAGCACCGGCUAACUACGUG